GCCAGUGUGGCAUAGUGGUUUGAGUGUUGGACCACAACUCUGGAAACCAGGGUUCAAUUCCUGACUCGGUCA
rnacentral:tRNA from 1 species